GUUCGAGCAGCGUCGUGUCGCGGUCUCGGGACUGUCCGUCAGUCUGUCCCGGGUCGUCUCGGCGCGGUUCCGAGCGGUCGCUCCCUCGCGAGGUGCCGCGGGUCAGCGGCUGACGCCAGCCACCUUCCCGACCCGUCUUGAAACACGGACCAAGGAGUCUAACAUGUGCGCGAGCCGCGGGGCAGUACGAAACCCGUAAGGCGAAAUGAAGGUGAACGCCGGCGCGGUCCGGCGGAGGUUGGAUCCCGUCCCGUCGGGGCGGGCGCACUACCCGCCGAUCUUCUCCGCCCUGUCGGCGAGGUCGAGCGAGAGCGUGCAAGUCGGGACCCGAAAGAUGGUGAACUAUGCCUGAGGAGGUUGAAGCCAGAGGAAACUCUGGUGGAGGACCGUAGCGAUUCUGACGUGCAAAUCGAUCGUCAAAUUUGGGUAUAGGGGCGAAAGACUAAUCGAACCGUCUAGUAGCUGGUUCCCUUCGAAGUUUCCCUCAGGAUAGCUGGCGCUCUGUCGCAGUUUUAUCUGGUAAAGCGAAUGAUUAGAGGUCUUGGGGGCGAAACGCCCUCAACUAUUCUCAAACUUUAAAUUGGUAAGAAGCCCGACUCGCUCGUUUGGAGCCGGGCAUGGAAUGCGAGUGCCAAGUGGGCCACUCUUGGUAAGCAGGACUGGCGAUGCGGGAUGAACCGGA
rnacentral:ncRNA from 1 species